rnacentral:rRNA from 1 species
UACGAAGGGGGCUAGCGUUGCUCGGAAUCACUGGGCGUAAAGCGCACGUAGGCGGGCUUUUAAGUCGGGGGUGAAAUCCUGGAGCUCAACUCCAGAACUGCCUCCGAUACUGGGAGUCUCAGAGUCCGGGAGAGGUGAGUGGAACUCCGAGUGUAGAGGUGAAAUUCGUAGAUAUUCGGAAGAACACCAGUGGCGAAGGCGGCUCACUGGCCCGGUACUGACGCUGAGGUGCGAAAGCGUGGGGAGCAAACAGG